rnacentral:miRNA from 19 species
UCUUUGGUAUUCUAGCUGUAGA